rnacentral:rRNA from 1 species
CGUAGGGGGCAAGCGUUGUCCGGAAUCAUUGGGCGUAAAGCGCGCGUAGGCGGCCCUGUAAGUCCGUUGUGAAAGUCAAAGGCUCAACCUUUGAAUGCCGAUGGAUACUGCAGGGCUAGAGUCCGGAAGAGGCGAGUGGAAUUCCUGGUGUAGCGGUGGAAUGCGCAGAUAUCAGGAGGAACACCAAUAGCGAAGGCAGCUCGCUGGGACGGUACUGACGCUAAGGCGCGAAAGCGUGGGGAGCGAACAGGAUUAGAUACCCUGGUAGUCCACGCCGUAAACGAUGGGCACUAGGUGUGGGAGGUGUCGACUCCUCCCGUGCCGUCGCUAACGCACUAAGUGCCCCGCCUGGGGAGUACGGCCGCAAGGCUA